GCUUACGGCCAUACCAGUCCAAGAACGCCCGGUCUGGUCUGAUCUCGGAAGCUAAGAAGGCUUGGGCCUGGUUAGUACUUGAAUGGGAGACCUCCUGGGAAUAUCAGGUGCUGUAAGCU
ensembl:rRNA 5S_rRNA 5S ribosomal RNA